ACAGGACCGCAAGCUCAAGUGGCAAGGCAGGAUUGUCCCCUAGAAACUUCCAAGGGAGCACGGCCCUGCCGAGACCUCAAUUUCUGCCUAGUCAUACUACUUCCAAAUUUCUGGCCUCCAGCACUGUGAGACAAUAAAGGUCUGUUGUUUUAAGGCACUGAGCAAAUGAAUUGGCUAGGAAACAAAUCCACAAGAAGACCGACCUCCCGGUGGCUCCUGUCUUAAGCCUGUCUUAAGAAGGACACUGAUGGCAGAGGAUGCCUGGUGGUUCCUGAGCUGUGUCCACCUUGUUUUCCAGAGCUUUCCCCGGAGUCACUCUUUGGCUGCGGUCUCCUGCGCCCCCUCCUGGCCAGAAGGAGAAGUGCGCCUCCUCCGGCCCCAGCUCUCUCCCUUGAAAUGUGAGAACCAGGGAAUCUCAAAACCAAAGCAGAAAGAUUUCUAUGCAGACACUGAGGCAAGAGGGGUCACGAUGAGGUCAGAGUGCUGUAGGAAUCCGCGCUGCUGGGCUGCACACAGUAAGCUGCCUCUCGUUUGAACAACAAGGGAGGAGGUGACACUGGUGUCAAGCACAGACAGGAAAAAAAGACAGAACCAGAUGGUGAAGGGCUUUGUGUUUCAUGCUGCUCUGGAACCGCCCUCUGGACAGCUGGCGGACUUUGCAGGUGGUCAGACAGAGCACGACCGAGUCACAUACUCCUUCAGACUGACUGCAGGGUCGGGCAGAGUGGCCUGAAGGCAGGAGAGGGACUCUUGCCAGAUGGGGUCGGACAGCACCUAGAACACUGUUCUGGAAAGAAAAUAGGAGCCGGUGGCCAUGGUGGACAGAUAAGCUGCUGAGAGGGCACAUCCCGGUGCAGCCCCCCAGGGAAGCUAGCAGCCAGAGCCCACUGCAGAGGGCAGGGGAAGCUCCCUGAGCCCCAAGGGGAGAGAGCUCAGGGCUGGAAAUGGCUUACAAGGAUGAACACCAGCCUGCAUCCACACAGAGUGACUGGGACCAGCGAGGCAGGCUGGGGCCCCAAGCCCAGGGGUAAGACCAGCCCUGGCACCAGACAGCGCGGAGAUGCUCAGAAGCGCCCCUCCCCGGCAUGGGCGUGGCCACAUGCCCCUGGAACCUUCUGCCGGGAGCCCCCGCCUUGAGGAACAGUCAACAAAUCCAGACCCGCAGCCCCUCCUGGUACCGAUAGGAAAGAACCCGCAGUCGGAGCUGCGCCGGGAACCCCAGCCCCACCCCUACGCAGCGAGGGGAGAGGGGGCUUGUUCACAGAAGGCAACUUGGAAGUCGCGAUUCUGGACUUGAAUGAACCUCCUGGAGCCGGUUGUCACAUCAAGAAUGAAGGCCCCUCCGCCCCUCCCACUCCACUUUUUUGGGAUUUUA